rnacentral:tRNA from 1 species
GGGCUGGGGCUCAGUGGUAGAGCUCUUGCCUAGCACGUGUGAGGCACUGGGUUCAAUUCUCAGCACCACA